AACACGUGGAAAUUGAAAAUAAGUCAUAGCUCGCACAUUUCUCAACAAUUUUUCUGAAUUUUUCGUCCACGCCAAAGCGUGUGGAAUAAAUAGAUAAUUUUUUUUUUUUUUUAGCAGUGCACUCUUUCCUUGACGUCAUUGCACGCAACGAUGUGCAGCACACCGUGCCGGCAUCGUUGGUCUUUCGGCAUUAAUACCGACCAGUCCGCACAUAAAAUGCGAUGAGAAUUUAGCUUGAGCCUUCUUGUAAAAGUUGGCGUCACCUUAGGCACGCAGCUCGAAAGGGGCGUGUUCUUUCUAACUAUUGUUCCCGUCUGUCCUAAUCCUCUUCAUCCUGACGAGUUCAAAAAUGUGGCGGAUACGUUGAGUUGUAAUCGACGACUCAAAAGUUGGACAAAGUCUCUUUCUUACCACUUAACGUUUCGGUUUUAGUGCCACAAUUUUGAAAGCUUUCAAGCGCGGCAUCACAUGGAAGCCACCUACAACAUAAGGAAGAGCUUGAUUUUUUUUUUUUUUUAUUAUUGCACGGGUCUUGAGUCAGGAGGUGGCACAUUUCUGCAUUUUAAUUCGUUGGUGCAGGAAUAUUCGCCUUGUGGCCAACGUGGUUUAUGAGGUGGUGAUGUUAAAGCUGAAAGGGAGUCAAGAGGACCAGGCACCAAAAGCAAGUUUGGGUCUUUUGAAGUCACUGUAGCUGGUUUAAUUACAGCCAUUCGUUUAAUUAUCUGUGAAUAAAGAUUUGGACAAACUGAUUUUUGUCUUCCAUAAUCUAUCUGCCUUGCGCCCUAGCGUAGCAUGCAAUUGCUGCAAUUAUAUGAUCUACCACAAGGUGCCAGUUAAACACAAGCCAUAAUGGACGGUCAGGCGUUUGUGAGUGUUCUGGUGGACCCUUAACAAUAUUUCAUGAAGCCAGCCUGAUUGCAAAGGAGUGGUGGUAUUUUAUCCAAAAUUGAAUUCAGCAUUAUUAAUCUGCUAAAAACUGGUGUCUAAAGGCAUAACAUGUGAACUCGACUGCACUUGCUGCUUUAAGGAAGUGUCAACAUCUAUCUAGAUUUGCAAAAAAUGUACUGCUAAGGCUGUCUCCUUGAGGAGAGUGAGCAUGUCAACUAUGUACAGUGAAAAUCUUUCCCAGGGUUGGGUCCUUGUUCAAGAUACACUAACUACAGUAAAUGUGAUAAAUUGUUCACCUGCUUGU